UCGGUCUGGCGGCGAGUGGCGAACGGGUGAGUAAUGUAUCGGAACGUGCCUAGUAGCGGGGGAUAACUACUCGAAAGAGUAGCUAAUACCGCAUACGCCCUACGGGGGAAAGGGGGGGAUCGCAAGACCUCUCACUAUUAGAGCGGCCGAUAUCGGAUUAGCUAGUUGGUGAGGUAAAGGCUCACCAAGGCGACGAUCCGUAGCUGGUUUGAGAGGACGACCAGCCACACUGGGACUGAGACACGGCCCAGACUCCUACGGGAGGCAGCAGUGGGGAAUUUUGGACAAUGGGGGAAACCCUGAUCCAGCCAUUCCGCGUGUGCGAUGAAGGCCUUCGGGUUGUAAAGCACUUUUGGCAGGAAAGAAAUCGCACCAAUUAAUACUUGGUGUGGAUGACGGUACCUGCAGAAUAAGCACCGGCUAACUACGUGCCAGCAGCCGCGGUAAUACGUAGGGUGCAAGCGUUAAUCGGAAUUACUGGGCGUAAAGCGUGCGCAGGCGGUUCGGAAAGAGAGGUGUGAAAUCCCAGGGCUCAACCUUGGAACUGCACUUUUAACUACCGAGCUAGAGUAUGUCAGAGGGGGGUGGAAUUCCGCGUGUAGCAGUGAAAUGCGUAGAUAUGCGGAGGAACACCGAUGGCGAAGGCAGCCCCCUGGGAUAAUACUGACGCUCAUGCACGAAAGCGUGGGGAGCAAACAGG
rnacentral:rRNA from 1 species